CCUAACUACAACACAAAUCAAAGCUACAUAAUGUACUAGGUGGUCAAUAUUUGGAUUUAAAAAAAAAAUAAAUUUAGCAAAUACACACUGCUCAGUUUCUAUACACUAAGAAGUAAGGGGUAUUCUGUAUUCAACUUUUAAACAUUUUUAUAAUAGAUUACAUAUUAAAAUACUAAAUCAUUUCAAUAGGAAAUAAAUUUCUUUAUUUCUCAACAGUCGUUCUGGGUGGGUGGCUUUGAUCUUUUAAUUUUUCUAUUGUUUUUUGUUGUUGUUUUAGCGGAGCCAGCGCGGACACAGGCCACGCGUGGAGCUCCAUAGGAGCUACCAUAUAUAUAGGUAUAUAUGGUAAGCUAUGCGACUUGGUUUUGUGGUAAUCGCACGGUUACCCUGUGGUGUCACACAUCAGCCAGCCAGCCAGUAAUCCAGCCGCGCAACUCUCAGGCCCCUCUUGGUCUUACGCUUUUGUGUUUUUAGUUCAAAGUUUGUAUCUUCACAGAAAAAAAGGCAGUAUUUAAUGAGAAAAUAUGCGGAUUCAAAUGGAAUGAAGUCAUUUAGGAACCGUUUUGUCUGAAGUACGAGUCGAUAGUAAAAUCUACUCUAGUAUUCGUGAAUCCCGCCCGUCGCAACUGCUAAAAAGAGGACUAUAGAGGAGGACUAUGGAGGAUCUACAUUUCCAUUGUAUAUUCAUUCACGUCUAAAUUUAUGUAAGGAGAUCCUGAGAAGAAAGGGCCUUGAUGUUUGUUUUCAGCUAUAAAAAUCAUUCGCUUGUGUCGACGAGUUCCUUGCUAGCAGAAAUUCAACGACUUCACAGUUUACAACAAAAGCGAACAACACAACAACAACAGAAAGGGAAAAAAACUGCCAAGGUAAAACCAACCAAGGACUACCUGAGGGCCAUGAUUGAUUCUAAAGGCUGGAAGGCAUAAUAAUAGG